GAGAGCUCAUAAGGCACCACCAAGACAUCCAACUGUCUCAAACUCAUGAUUGAUGGUGACCGCACUUUUACCAUACCAUAAUAGGCUGGGCUGGGCGUCUAUAAAAAACAUCAUGCCACCUGGUACGACUGGGGAUUGAGGUUAGGUUUUUUUACUCUAGUAAGGAACUAGCGGAUCACUUCAAUCCAAUAAAGUCGCUUGCCUGCCGAUCCGAGGGGAAAAAGUCUCGGGCUUAGAGGUAUGGAUGGUCCCCACUAAGGCUUGCCUACUGCUUUGUUACCAGAGCUGGAUCGAUUUAAUCUUUUCCUAGUACCCAUGCUCCUAUUACUACUUCUGCUGCUAUUCUGACUCCCAUGGAUGGUUAUGG
rnacentral:misc_RNA from 1 species